rnacentral:rRNA from 1 species
UAGGGAAUCUUCCGCAAUGGGCGAAAGCCUGACGGAGCAACGCCGCGUGAGUGAUGGAGGUCUUCGGAUCGUAAAACUCUGUUAUUAGGGAAGAACAAAUGUGUAAGUAACUAUGCACGUCUUGACGGUACCUAAUCAGAAAGCCACGGCUAACUACGUGCCAGCAGCCGCGGUAAUACGUAGGUGGCAAGCGUUAUCCGGAAUUAUUGGGCGUAAAGCGCGCGUAGGCGGUUUUUUAAGUCUGAUGUGAAAGCCCACGGCUCAACCGUGGAGGGUCAUUGGAAACUGGAAAACUUGAGUGCAGAAGAGGAAAGUGGAAUUCCAUGUGUAGCGGUGAAAUGCGCAGAGAUAUGGAGGAACACCAGUGGCGAAGGCGACUUUCUGGUCUGUAACUGACGCUGAUGUGCGAAAGCGUGGGGAUCAAACAGG